AACUUUUAUAUGUGUUUGUAGGUGCUCAGAACGCUGGACACACUGUUACACUUCUUGUACGAGGAUCGAAUAAACUGGUUCUCGAAGAAGCGGAUCGCUCUAUUCAUGACGCCCUGUGUGUCAUUCGUUGUCUUGUUCGUAAGCAGGCAGUGAUUGCAGGAGGAGGAGCACCUGAAAUUGAGAUAGCUCUCAAGUUAGCCGCUAUAGCGAACAGAUUGGAAGGCAUAGACGCAAUUUGUACAAGAGCUUAUGCCAAUGCCUUGGAAAUCAUCCCAUUCACCUUGGCAGAAAACGCCGGGUUGAAUCCUAUUCAGACCGUUACAGAGUUGAGGAAUCGCCAUGCCAAAGGAGAAAUAUCAGCUGGAAUUAAUGUUCGAAAGGGGACCAUUUCCGAUAUUCUGGAAGAAAAUGUCGUUCAGCCCCUUUUAGUAAGCACAUCUGCCUUGAGUUUGGCCACAGAAACUGUCAGGUCAAUUCUGAAAAUUGAUGAUAUUGUGAACACUAUAACAUAAGAUCUGGAUAUUGAAUCAAACUAACUUAUUAAUCUUAGUUUAUUCUCAUUCGUUUUCUCAUUUUCUUUGUCAGUUCAGGUUUUAACGGAUAUGUAACAUUUGUAACACCUUAGUACCUUUCUGCUCUAAUAUUUUGACUAUCUUCACCUAGCUUAACAUUUUUAAAUAAUGUUUUGAAAUUAAAAUCUCAUCACUGAAAUAAA